UAGCAUAUCAAUAAGCGGAGGAAAAGAAACCAACAGGGAUUGCCCCAGUAACGGCGAGUGAAGCGGCAACAGCUCAAAUUUGAAAUCUGGCCCCCAGGGGCCCGAGUUGUAAUUUGCAGAGGAUGCUUUUGGCGCGGCGCCUUCCGAGUUCCCUGGAACGGGACGCCAUAGAGGGUGAGAGCCCCGUCUGGUCGGACGCCAAGCCAGUGUAAAGCUCCUUCGACGAGUCGAGUAGUUUGGGAAUGCUGCUCUAAAUGGGAGGUAUAUGUCUUCUAAAGCUAAAUAUAGGCCAGAGACCGAUAGCGCACAAGUAGAGUGAUCGAAAGAUGAAAAGCACUUUGAAAAGAGGGUUAAACAGUACGUGAAAUUGUUGAAAGGGAAGCACUUGUGACCAGACUUGGGCCCGGUGAAUCAUCCAGCGUUCUCGCUGGUGCACUUCGCCGGGCUCAGGCCAGCAUCAGUUCGCCGCGGGGGACAAAAGCUUCGGGAACGUGGCUCCCUCGGGAGUGUUAUAGCCCGUUGCACAAUACCCUGCGGUGGACUGAGGUUCGCGCUCCGCAAGGAUGCUGGCGUAAUGGUCACCAGUGACCCGUCUUGAAACACGGACCAAGGAGUCGUCUUCGUAUGCGAGUGUUCGGGUGUCAAACCCCUACGCGUAAUGAAAGUGAACGCAGGUGAGAGCUUCGGCGCAUCAUCGACCGAUCCUGAUGUUCUCGGAUGGAUUUGAGUAAGAGCAUACGGGGCCGGACCCGAAAGAAGGUGAACUAUGCCUGUAUAGGGUGAAGCCAGAGGAAACUCUGGUGGAGGCUCGCAGCGGUUCUGACGUGCAAAUCGAUCGUCAAAUAUGGGCAUGGGGGCGAAAGACUAAUCCAACCUUUUAGUAGCUGGUUUCCCCCGAU
rnacentral:rRNA from 1 species